rnacentral:tRNA from 1 species
GCCGGAGUAGCUCAGUUGGUAGAGCGACGGUAUCGUAAACCGUAGGUCGCCAGUUCAAUCCUGGCCUCCGGCUCCA